ensembl:snoRNA
UUGGCCCUGAAUCAAGGCCAUUAGUUUGCUGAAGCUGUUGGUUUCAAGCAGGUGCCUAAAAAAAUGUCUUUCUAUGGUCUGUUGGCCAUUUCAGAAAUUUUAAAAUGUUAUUGUUGAUUCAUUAAAAAGAAACAUCU